GGUCCUGGCCCAGGUUGGGCAGAGAAGCUGUGGCUGCCCCUGGAUCCCUGGAAGUGUCCAAGGCCAGGUUGGAGCAGCCUGGGCUAGUGGAAGGUGUCCCUGCCCAUGGCAGGGGUUUGGAGCAAGCUGAUCCUUCAUCUCCCUUCCAACCCAUUCCAUGAUUCUGUGGUCUCAGCCCAUGAGUUUUCCCACUUUUCCCCCUCUGAUUCCCUCUCAUCCCAGCCCGGGCCGUGAGGGCUCUGUGGGGCUCAGCUGCCACCACAGCCUGGCUCAAUCAGCUGCAAAACACAGGGCAGUAAAACACUGGUAAAAUUGUAAAGACAGUGAAAUACUGGGCAGCACUGGAGAUUGUGGGCUCCUCACUUUGAGGUGAUCCAUAUGCAAAUCCCUCUGCAGAAUUAGCCUUGGGCAAGGACACCUCCUCCCACUGCCCCUCUGUCAGAGGGAAAAUGGUCUCAAUAUUUUGCUUCCUGCUGCUUUGGCCAAUCUGCUUUUAUAAUUUUUUUUAAAAUCUGGAACAUCCACCUAUUAUUUGACUUGCAAAAAAAUUAAUUCCCUCUUUUCUGUUAAACUUUUCCCAUGCAUUAUGCAGCAUUUUUCCCCCUGUUUUUCCUCUGAAGUAGCACAGGAGCUCCCAGGUACUCAGGCUGUACAUGGAAGGAAUAAUAAUAAUAAUUACUGGUUGAUUUGGGUGAGCUUGUCCUAAUUUUGCCAUUCCACCUGAAGGCAAAGGCCAAAAAAAAUUAGAUUGGAAACCUUCUGUUCAGAUCACACAAGGCUGGAUCUAAUCAAGGAAAACUCCAGUUUCUGUUUCAGCUGAAAAAUUUAGUCUAUGUGAAGCAUUUACAGGUUAAAAAAUAAAUGUAAAAGCAACAAA